UACGGAGGGUGCAAACGUUGCUCGGAAUUAUUGGGCGUAAAGCGUGUGUAGGCGGCUGAGUAAGUCGGGCGUGAAAGCCCUCGGCUUAACCGAGGAAGUGCGUUCGAUACUGCUCAGCUAGAGUACAGGAGAGGAUAGUGGAAUUCCCGGUGUAGAGGUGAAAUUCGUAGAUAUCGGGAGGAACACCAGUGGCGAAGGCGGCUAUCUGGACUGAUACUGACGCGGAGACACGAAAGCGUGGGGAGCAAACAGG
rnacentral:rRNA from 1 species